rnacentral:tRNA from 1 species
AGCCCUGCAGUGAGUGACACGUCAAAUUGCAAAUUUGAAAAAAGUUCCUAUUUUGGUUCCAGGGCUU